rnacentral:rRNA from 1 species
UCCCAGACUCCUACGGGAGGCAGCAGUGGGGGAUAUUGCACAAUGGGGGGAACCCUGAUGCAGCGACGCCGCGUGGGUGAAGAAGCGCCUCGGCGCGUAAAGCCCUAUCGGCAGGGAAGAAGCAAGACGGUACCUGACUAAGAAGCCCCGGCUAACUACGUGCCAGCAGCCGCGGUAAUACGUAGGGGGCAAGCGUUAUCCGGAUUUACUGGGUGUAAAGGGAGCGUAGACGGCGAUGCAAGCCAGAUGUGAAAGCCCGGGGCUCAACCCCGGGACUGCAUUUGGAACUGUGUGGCUGGAGUGUCGGAGAGGCAGGCGGAAUUCCUAGUGUAGCGGUGAAAUGCGUAGAUAUCAGGAGGAACACCGGCGGCGAAGGCGGCCUGCUGGACCGUGACUGACGUUGAGGCUCGAGAGCGUGGGGAGCAAACAGGAUUAGAUACCCCUGUA